CAGAAGAUAGUUUAUAAAAAAUAUUAAUUUUGGAGAUUAAUGAAAAGAGUUUAUUCUUUCUUCUGA
rnacentral:tRNA from 1 species